rnacentral:lncRNA from 1 species
GGUUGUCAAUGAGGAUAUUUAUUGGGGUUUCAUGAGUGCAGGGAGAAGGGCUGGAUGACUUGGGAUGGGGAGAGAGACCCCUCCCCUGGGAUCCUGCAGCUCCAGGCUCCCGUGGGUGGGGUUAGAGUUGGGAACCUAUGAACAUUCUGUAGGGGCCACUGUCUUCUCCACGGUGCUCCCUUCAUGCGUGACCUGGCAGCUGUAGCUUCUGUGGGACUUCCACUGCUCGGGCGUCAGGCUCAGGUAGCUGCUGGCCGCGUACUUGUUGUUGCUCUGUUUGGAGGGUUUGGUGGUCUCCACUCCCGCCUUGACGGGGCUGCCAUCUGCCUUCCAGGCCACUGUCACAGCUCCCGGGUAGAAGUCACUGAUCAGACACACUAGUGUGGCCUUGUUGGCUUGGAGCUCCUCAGAGGAGGGCGGGAACAGAGUGACAGUGGGGUUGGCCUUGGGCUGACCUGUGUGGACAGGGAAGGGGGUGAGAGAGGGCAGACAGAAUACCGGGGUGCUGUCAUCCCAUGCUGCACAGUAAUAAUCAGCCUCAUCCUCGGACCGGAGCCCACUGAUGGCCAGGGAGGCUGAGGUGCCAGACUUGGAGCCAGAGAAUCGGUCAGGGACCCCUGAGGGCCGCUGAUUAUUACUAUAGAUGAGGAGUUUGGGGGCCGUUCCUGGGAGCUGCUGGUACCAGUAUACAUAAUUACUUCCGAUGUUGGAGCUGCUUCCAGAACAAGAGAUGGUGACCCUCUGCCCGGGGGUCCCAGACGCUGAGGGUGGCUGAGUCAGCACAGACUGGGCCCAGGACCCUGGAAUGAGUGAGGAGGGUGAGGAGGAGAGGGAAGCCGGCCAUGCUGGAGAUUGUC